UGGGGAAUUUUGGACAAUGGGCGAAAGCCUGAUCCAGCAAUGCCGCGUGUGUGAAGAAGGCCUUCGGGUUGUAAAGCACUUUUGUCCGGAAAGAAAUCCUUGGCUCUAAUACAGUCGGGGGAUGACGGUACCGGAAGAAUAAGCACCGGCUAACUACGUGCCAGCAGCCGCGGUAAUACGUAGGGUGCAAGCGUUAAUCGGAAUUACUGGGCGUAAAGCGUGCGCAGGCGGUUUGCUAAGACCGAUGUGAAAUCCCCGGGCUCAACCUGGGAACUGCAUUGGUGACUGGCAGGCUAGAGUAUGGCAGAGGGGGGUAGAAUUCCACGUNUAGCAGUGAAAUGCGUAGAGAUGUGGAGGAAUACCGAUGGCGAAGGCAGCCCCCUGGGCCAAUACUGACGCUCAUGCACGAAAGCGUGGGGAGCAAACAGGAUUAGAUACCCUGGUAGUCCACGCCCUAAAACGAUGUCAACUAGUUGUUGGGGAUUCAUUUCCUUAGUAACGUAGCUAACGCGUGAAGUUGACCGCCUGGGGAGUACGGUCGCAAUGAUU
rnacentral:rRNA from 1 species